GAUGAACGCUAGCGGCAGGCUUAAUACAUGCAAGUCGUGGGGCAGCGCAGGUAGCAAUACUGGGCGGCGACCGGCAAACGGGUGCGGAACACGUACACAACCUUCCGAGAAGUGGGGAAUAGCCCAGAGAAAUUUGGAUUAAUACCCCGUAACAUAACGAUGUGGCAUCACAUUGUUAUUAUAGCUUCGGCGCUUCUUGAUGGGUGUGCGGCUGAUUAGAUAGUUGGCGGGGUAACGGCCCACCAAGUCUACGAUCAGUAGCUGAUGUGAGAGAAUACUCAGCCACACGGGCACUGAGACACGGGCCCGACUCCUACGGGGGGCAGCAGUAAGGAAUAUUGGUCAAUGGACGCAAGUCUGAACCAGCCAUGCCGCGUGAAGGAUUAAGGUCCUCUGGAUUGUAAACUUCUUUUAUCUGGGACGAAAAAAGGCGAUUCUUCGUCACUUGACGGUACCAGAUGAAUAAGCACCGGCUAACUCCGUGCCAGCCGCCGCCGUAAAAC
rnacentral:rRNA from 1 species